rnacentral:rRNA from 1 species
GACGAACGCUGGCGGCGUGCCUAACACAUGCAAGUCGAACGGAGAAUCAGCAAUGAUUCUUAGUGGCGAACGGGUGAGUAACGCGUAGACAACCUGCCUUCUAGAUGGGGACAACACUGCGAAAGUGGUGCUAAUACCGAAUGUUGUAUUAAGCCUGCAUGGGCUUGAUACUAAAGGUGGCCUCUAUUUAUAAGCUAUCACUAGAAGAUGGGUCUGCGUCUGAUUAGCUAGUUGGUGAGGUAAUGGCUCACCAAGGCGAUGAUCAGUAGCCGGUCUGAGAGGAUGAACGGCCACACUGGGACUGAGACACGACCCAGACUCCUACGGGAGGCAGCAGUGGGGAAUCUUCCGCAAUGGACGAAAGUCUGACGGAGCAACGCCGCGUGAGCGAAGAAGGUUUUCGGAUCGUAAAGCUCUGUCUUUGAGGGCGAAUGUGUCUAAUGUGAAUAAUGUUAGAUAAUGACGGUACUCGAGGAGGAAGCCACGGCUAACUACGUGCCAGCCGCCGCAGUAA